GCUUACGGCCAUACCACUCUGAACGCGCGAUCCGAUCUCGUCUGAUCUCGGAAGCCAAACAGGGUUGGGCCUGAUUAGUACUUGGGUGGGAGACUGCUUGGGAAUACCAGGUGCUGUAAGCU